UGGGGAAUAUUGCACAAUGGGCGCAAGCCUGAUGCAGCCAUGCCGCGUGUGUGAAGAAGGCCUUCGGGUUGUAAAGCACUUUCAGCGAGGAGGAAGGUGGUGAAACUUAAUACGUUCAUCAAUUGACGUUACUCGCAGAAGAAGCACCGGCUAACUCCGUGCCAGCAGCCGCGGUAAUACGGAGGGUGCAAGCGUUAAUCGGAAUUACUGGGCGUAAAGCGCACGCAGGCGGUUUGUUAAGUCAGAUGUGAAAUCCCCGGGCUCAACCUGGGAACUGCAUUUGAAACUGGCAAGCUAGAGUCUCGUAGAGGGGGGUAGAAUUCCAGGUGUAGCGGUGAAAUGCGUAGAGAUCUGGAGGAAUACCGGUGGCGAAGGCGGCCCCCUGGACGAAGACUGACGCUCAGGUGCGAAAGCGUGGGGCAGCAAACAGGAUUAGAUACCCUGGUAGUCCACGCUGUAAACGAUGUCGAUUUUGGAGGUUGUGCCCUUGAGGCGUGGCUUCCGGAGCUAACGCGUU
rnacentral:rRNA from 1 species